rnacentral:lncRNA from 1 species
CCAGCUGGCAGAGCCUGGGGCGGGGGCCUGAGCUCCAGGUCCGAGAGGAGCCGCACCGUCGGGUUGGAGAUCGCGCGCAAGGGUGGCCUCUGGGUCUGCAUCUGCCCCGCAUCGGCCACAGGAAAAGCCUGGUCCCUAGGCACGGUCGUGGUUCGAGCUUUUCGUUCUCUCGCACAUUGAGGUAUUCGCUCAGCCCACCACGUUGUCCUCGGGGUUAUUAGGCCCCAGUCACAAGCCCUAUGAUGUUUUCAGACUUCCCAGGUGGAGAUAAAGGAAAAUUUUACUAUUUCUGCAGAACUUCUGUUGAUGUACAGCAUUGUAUUUAGCAACUUCUGUGUAGAUCUGAAAAUAAAUACAUUACCAAUUGUUAGUUGCGUUUUUAUUAAUAUAAAUCUUAGAGUACUUGAUUUUGCUGUUAGCUUUACUUAGGUAAAUUAUGUGGCACUCUAGCAUUUUUGUUGUUGCAUGUUCCAUUGAACUUUGCUCUGUGUUUUCCAUUUAUUCCAAAUUCAAAAUAGACUGUAACUUCCCAAUUUAUUCUAUGUUCCCAAGGCACCAGGCAUAGUAGGUGUUUUAUGAAUACCUGUUGACUUGAAAUUUCUCAGACUUUUAAAAAAUUUUUCAUUACUGACAAAAGAUGGAGCGAUAAAAAGAUUCUUAGUACACUUCCUAUUAUUGCCAAUUCUAUUAGUAAUGUAUACUGCAUUACAACUUCUAUACAAGCAGUAACUCAUUUGCUCCUCAUAAGAACCCUAUGAGAGAUGUGGUUUUACUGUCAUCAUUUUAGGAGCAAAUUAAGGCACAAAGAAGUGACUUACCCAAGGUUACACAGCUAUUAUCUGGUGGAAGCAGGAUUUGAACCCUGGCAAUUGGGCUCCAAAGUCUGAUCCUUUGUCUAUAAUGUUGACAAAAACUUGUGGAUGUUGUGGUAAAUUGCUUUCUCUCCAUUUGAAAUCCCAUUGAGUUGAAGAGAUAGACGCAUAGUGAGUAUACGUCCCAAGGAAAUGUAUUAUAUUGUUUUCUGGGUUUCAGUUAAUUCAAAUAAAAUAAAAAUAGUGAAGCAAAGAUUUGGACUAGAUGCUGUGAGGUUUUGUGUCAGCAUGCAACAGUGUCACAACAGUGUCAUCACCACGUUUGGUUCUGUGUUGUGGAUGUAAUAUUUUGCCCCACAUACAUAGAAAGUUCAAUGAAUAGCACUGAACCACAUAUAUACCAAAUUAAAGACAACUUUUGAUAUUAUGUAUUCUAGAGGGAAUCUUUCUGGUAUCAGAAUAUUCAUACUACUGUCAUUGGGAU